UACAGAGGUCCCGAGCGUUGUUCGGAUUCACUGGGCGUAAAGGGUGCGCAGGUGGGUUGGCAAGUUUGAUGUGAAAGCCCCGGGCUUAACCCGGGAAAGGCAUUGAAUACUGCUGAUCUGGAGGAUCGGAGGGGGGACUGGAAUUCUUGGUGUAGCAGUGAAAUGCGUAGAUAAUCGAAGAGGAACACCAGUGGCGAAGGCGAGUCCCUGGACGAUACCUGACACUGAGGCACGAAAGCCAAGGGAGCAAACAGG
rnacentral:rRNA from 1 species